GUGCUAUCAUGCAGUAGAACGCUGAAGAAGNNYYUUGCUCUUUUGGAAGAGUUGCGAACGGGUGAGUAACGCGUAGGUAACCUGCCUGGUAGCGGGGGAUAACUAUUGGAAACGAUAGCUAAUACCGCAUAAUAGCUUUAAUUGCAUGAUUGAAGUUUGAAAGAUGCAACUGCAUCACUACCAGAUGGACCUGCGUUGUAUUAGCUAGUAGGUGAGGUAAAGGCUCACCUAGGCGACGAUACAUAGCCGACCUGAGAGGGUGAACGGCCACACUGGGACUGAGACACGGCCCAGACUCCUACGGGAGGCAGCAGUAGGGAAUCUUCGGCAAUGGGGGCAACCCUGACCGAGCAACGCCGCGUGGAGUGAAGAAGGUUUUCGGAUCGUAAAGCUCUGUUGUAAGAGAAGAACGUGUGUGAGAGUGGAAAGUUCACACAGUGACGGUAACUUACCAGAAAGGGACGGCUAACUACGUGCCAGCAGCCGCGGUAAUACGUAGGUCCCGAGCGUUAUCCGGAUUUAUUGGGCGUAAAGCGAGCGCAGGCGGUUGGAUAAGUCUGAAGUUAAAGGCUGUGGCUUAACCAUAGUAUGCUUUGGAAACUGUUCAACUUGAGUACAGAAGGGGAGAGUGGAAUUCCAUGUGUAGCGGUGGAAUGCGUAGAUAUAUGGAGGAACACCGGUGGCGAAAGCGGCUCUCUGGUCUGUAACUGACGCUGAGGCUCGAAAGCGUGGGUAGCGAACAGGAUUAGAUACCCUGGUAGUCCACGCCGUAAACGAUGAGUGCUAGGUGUUAGGCCCUAUCCGGGGCUUAGUGCCGCAGCUAACGCAUUAAGCACUCCGCCUGGGGAGUACGACCGCAAGGUUGAAACUCAAAGGAAUUGACGGGGGCCCGCACAAGCGGUGGAGCAUGUGGUUUAAUUCGAAGCAACGCGAAGAACCUUACCAGGUCUUGACAUCCCAGUGACCGCCCUAGAGAUAGGGUUUCCCUUAGGGGCACUGGUGACAGGUGGUGCAUGGUUGUCGUCAGCUCGUGUCGUGAGAUGUUGGGUUAAGUCCCGCAACGAGCGCAACCCUUAUUGUUAGUUGCCAUCAUUCAGUUGGGCACUCUAGCGAGACUGCCGGUAAUAAACCGGAGGAAGGUGGGGAUGACGUCAAAUCAUCAUGCCCCUUAUGACCUGGGCUACACACGUGCUACAAUGGCUGGUACAACGAGUCGCAAGUCGGUGACGGCAAGCAAAUCUCUUAAAGCCAGUCUCAGUUCGGAUUGUAGGCUGCAACUCGCCUACAUGAAGUCGGAAU
rnacentral:rRNA from 1 species